rnacentral:rRNA from 2 species
UGGGGAAUAUUGCACAAUGGAGGAAACUCUGAUGCAGCGACGUCGCGUGAAUGAUGAAGGUCUUCGGAUCGUAAAAUUCUGUCCUUGGGGACGAUAAUGACGGUACCCAAGGAGGAAGCCCCGGCUAACUACGUGCUAGCAGCCGCGGUAAUACGUAGGGGGCGAGCGUUGUCCGGAUUUAGUGGGCGUAAAGGGUUCGCAGGUGGCCUUUUAAGUCAGAUGUGAAAGAUCAAGGCUUAACUGUGGUAAGCAUUUGAAACUGGAAGACUUGAGUUAAGGAGAGGAAAGUGGAAUUCCUAGUGUAGCGGUGAAAUGCGUAGAUAUUAGGAGGAAUACCAGUGGCGAAGGCGACUUUCUGGACUUAUACUGACGCUGAGGAACGAAAGCGUGGGGAGCAAACAGG